CGUGUUUGGUGCAUUUCUCACAGACCACAGGCUAAAAGUGAGACUCAGCAAAUGUGCAUGGAGAAGGGCUGAGGUGAAAUGAGCAGGGAGUCAGCUUCUGGUGCCUUUUAUGUAAGAGCAAGUUGGAAGAGGCAUCAGAUUCAACAACAGACAUUGUGCUCAGCAGGCAUACAUCUUCCCUGUUGCUCGGACUUGGCAAGCGCAGACCUGAGAAUUAAAGAGAACAAUUGCUUGGUGGAAGGGGAGGAGAAGGAGUGAAAGAAACUACAAGACAAAGUGGGAAGUAUUUAUAAAUGGCAUGAACUGUGAUUCCUCACUCCAAGUUUGUGGGAGAUACAUACAGCACUCGGUUUUUCAAAACCAUUCAUUGCUGACCUUUGAAUCUUUGCUUCCUUUGAACAAAUCAAGAGCAAACUAACAACAUUAAGGGAAGCACAGAAGCAGGCAUAUGAAUACCAUGGAAUCUUUUCUUGGAGGUUUGAAAGAAGAGGAUAGACAGACAUCUGUUUAUGAUCUAUGCGUAUUUGAUCUGUCCUCAGUGCAAGAGGCUCUUGAGCCCUCUCCCAGUCCUUUGUACCAACAAUUCUGUGAAAACACUGAACUCUGCAAAACAUAGACACAUGGCAUGGCCCUAAGAACAAAGAAAGAAUGGAGCUUUUAUGCUGAGUGCUCACCAAAGGCAACUUGGAGCUCUGAGCGAAGAACCUCUGCCUUAUAUUUGAUUCCUGUUUAGGAAUAAGUAUCUUUGCAAAUUCAAAGACACUUGUCUCCACCACCAUUGUCUCCAACAAAAGAAAUAGCUUGCAGAACCCUGAACUUCGGCUAACUAUUCAGACCAGAAAAAGGGAUAACGUUGAGUUGGGUCAGACUGACUUUGUAACCAACAAAGCAGUUCUUUAGUCCAGAAAGAUAAUGGUAAUACUUUAUCCUUACACAGUGCCUUUCAUCUAAGAACCUCAAAACAUUAAAGCUUCAUUGCAUGCUUAAGUCUUUACAAGAUAGGUGGCAAUCUUUCAAUAUUUUACAGAACAGUAAACUCCAGAAUGGGGAGGUUAAGGAUUCUGUUUUGCAGAAGAGUUGAUCAUCUUCAUCUGUGACUGAAAUCAAAGAAGUCUCACUGAGAUAAAUUAAAGCUAGAGAUGCUCAGAUUCCACAAAUCAGUUCAUCUGUAGCUUGCAAUUAGUGAAUAAGGAAUAGAAACACAAAAAUAAAGGCUUUCAUUUUCUAUCAACUCUUGCCAGUGGAGGUGAGUCAUCAGGGUAUCUUAAAGCAUGACAGUUCAUCAAUACAAAAAUGAUAUGAACCAGAAAGAUACCACACUCUUUAGAAUGAACUGACUUCAUGCCAGCUUUCUGGUCAUAAAUACAACUGCUUUCCUGGCAAGUUUCAGACAUGCAGCCAUAAUAUUGAAUCACAAUGAGUUGUUUUAAAAGUCAGUUGCAUAAAACAGAUCAUGUGCAGCAUAUGUUAUGUCUCAGGUUAUGAAAACAUUCUACAACAAACUAGCUUAAAACAAUUAAAAAUGUUUCAGUCAAUGG